rnacentral:rRNA from 1 species
CGACAAGCAAAAGAAGGGCGUAUGGGGGAUGCCUAGGCUCUCAGAGGCGACGAAGGACGUGAUAAGCUGCGAAAAACCGCGGGGAGCUGCACAUGAGCAUUGAUCCGCGGGUAUCCGAAUGGGGCAACCCGGCUGGUUGAAGGCCAGUCAUGCCGUAAGGCAGGCGAACCCGCCGAACUGAAACAUCUAAGUAGGCGGAGGAAGAGAAAACAAGAGUGAUUCCGAGAGUAGUGGCGAGCGAAAUCGGAUCGGCCCAAACCGUUGUUGUUCCGGCAAUGACGGGGUUGUAGGACCACAAUGUUCUUUGCGCGACGAACCGGAAGCAGUUGGAAAGCUGCACGAUAUGGGUGACAGUCCCGUACGGGCAAGGAGCGUUAAAGAUAGUGGUAUCCUGAGUAGCGCGGGGCACGUGAAACCCUGUGUGAAUCCGGCGGGACCAUCCGCCAAGGCUAAAUACUCCUGGGAGACCGAUAGUGAACCAGUACCGUGAGGGAAAGGUGAAAAGAACCGUGAACAACGGAGUGAAACAGACCCUGAAACCAUACGCCUACAAGCGGUCGGAGUCCCGAUUUAUCGGGAUGACGGCGUGCCUUUUGCAUAAUGAGCCUACGAGUUACUUUUACCGGCAAGGUUAAGCACUUAUGGUGCGCAGCCGUAGCGAAAGCGAGUCUGAACAGGGCGUCUUAGUCGGUAGUAGUAGACGCGAAACCGUGCGAUCUACCCAUGGGCAGGUUGAAGCUGUGGUAACACAUAGUGGAGGACCGAACCCGUUGACGUUGAAAAGUCUUGGGAUGACCUGUGGGUAGGGGUGAAAGGCCAAUCAAGCUCGGAAAUAGCUCGUACUCCCCGAAAUGCAUUUAGGUGCAGCGUUCUGAUAGUUAUAUAGAGGUAGAGCUACUGAUUGGAUGCGGGGGCUUCACCGCCUACCAAUUCCUGACAAACUCCGAAUGCUAUAUACUGUUUCAGGGGAGUGAGGGCCUGGGU